UACAGAGGAUGCAAGCGUUAUCCGGAAUGAUUGGGCGUAAAGGGUGCGUAGGUGGUUGUGCAAGUCUGAUGUGAAAUCUCCGGGCUUAACCCGGAAAUGGCAUUGGAAACUGCAUAGCUAGAGGUUUGGAGGGGGGACUGGAAUUCUCGGUGUAGCAGUGAAAUGCGCAGAUAUCAGGAGGAACACCGAUGGCGAAGGCAGGUCUCUGGGCCACUACUGACGCUGAGAAGCGAAAGUAUGGGGAGCGAACAGG
rnacentral:rRNA from 1 species